GCUUCAGUGCUGCUGCAUUUCUGCCCUCCCCAGAGAUGAGCAGAAAUUUGCCCACAUUCCUGGGAAAAGGGAUGAAUCUCCAGCACAGGCAGCAUUCUUCUUCUUUAGGUCUUUAGGUUGUGUCCUCAGGUUUUCGAGUCCCACACACGUGCUGCUGCCGUCCCAGGGUGAUGGCACAACCUUCACCCCACCUCCUCUUCACCAAGACCUUCCUCCUCUUCUCAUUUUCUUUUUUUUUUUUUUGUUUUUUUUUUAGGAAAUAAUGUUGGGAAAAUCUGUUUUUUCAUAACUCUAGUGGUUCUGGAUUGAUGGUUGGCCCGGAUAAUCUUAAAGCUCUUUUCCAGCCUUGAUGAUUCUGUAAUUUUUGGUGGAAAUUUUCAUGCCACAAGCCCAACCAGCUCCACUUCCUCAAAGGCUCUCAGCACUCCAAACAACUCCAUGAGGAGAUGAUUCCUGGUCUUUUGGAGGGUGGUGGAAAGGGACAUUUGAAGGCUGGUGAUUUUUUAAAAGGACAAGUGAUGGCACUUUUCCUCCUCUCCUUGUUGCCCAUGUAGAAAGUGCUGAAAGACUAAAGGGCUUUGAGUGUGGGGGCAUUUGUGCUGUUUGUUUCUCAGGCCAUAUGCACAGCUCAGUCCUUUUUAUAGUCCUGCAUAUGGCACGAGCAUAAUUGAAUUUUUCACCGUAAUUGAUCUGACCUGUAUCAUUCUGCUGGCUCCAGCAGAGAUAAUUCCAACUGACUGAGAUCAGGACUGAAAACAUGGUGCAGUGAGUGGAGGAGCCAUGAAUUCCCAGAGAGGAGGAGGCACGAGCGGCUUUGCCCAGUUUGUGCUGUUUGUACCUGGCACAGCUGUUUGGCUUUCAGAGCUCCUCCUGACUCGAACCAGAACCACAGACUCCUGCUUGCUGGAAAGGAGGAACAGAAAAAACCAAGGAGAAACAACACUUCAGCAUCACUAUUACAUCUCCAUCCUCUUCAGCCUUAAAGUUCUCCUUCCCUUUCACUAGAGCCAGGAGGAAUAAAGUACUCUGAGCAGUUGCUCUGCCUUCUUUCCAUUCCUUUUCCCCCUGCUCCCCUUCACUGUGAGUCAGAGUGCUGAGGUUCUUGGAGAGUCUGGGAAGAGGACAGUGCCUGAUUUCCAUGGGCCAGCAUCUGGCCACAGUUACAACAAGCAAAAAUUACCUGUGGUGUUUAUGGUUAGGAAGAAUCUCGAUUUCUUGACCGUAUGAGGCAUUCACGGAUCCUGUAAGAGAGAAAAAAAGGCUCAGGUAUAUAUUUUUUUUAAUUAAAAGUAAUGGUUUGAUAGAAGAAUAAACCCAGACCAACCACUGGGGAAGGACACUUUUGUUCUCCAAAAUCAAGCCCCAUUCCACCCAGGGAUGGAGAUUUAUGGCACAAACCAAGGUUGUCUUGAUCCUGUGACCUGGGGGUUGCCAACCUUCACCAUCUCUCAAAACAUCUGUGAAUUUAUAUUUUUGUUUUCACACUGCUUAUCUGGGUUGGUGAAUUAUUGAGUAUUAUCCUGUUAUAAGUCAAGGUAGGUCUGGUUUCUACUCUGGAAACACCCCUGUUAUA
rnacentral:lncRNA from 1 species